GCACGCCGACGUGUGCUUGAGUGGGAAGGCGGGAGGACGGUUUCGGUCGGGGUGAGGCCGCGAGGGAGAGGUGUGGCGCUGCUGCUGCGGAGCGGGAGAAGGGCCGGAACGAGGAGCCGGUGACGGAGAGGAAGAAGCGUGUCAAAUGUGAAAGUCUGGAAGAAGCUACACGUCUUGUGCAUUCUCUAGAUUGUUAACUCGCGAACCCGCUUGUUCAGAGGAUUCGCGAACCCUCGUGACUCCGCCUUGCAGGCACGACGCCUGCCUCCUCCACGCGCUCCGCCGCCUCCAUCCGCCCCUCCCUCCCUCUUCCCACCGGCGUCGCGCGCAGCUCCGCCGGCCCCGGCGCACCUCUGCCGGCCACCGUGCCCUCCCUCCCACUAGCCCCCACGCGCACCACCUCCACGGCCGCGCGCUGCCUCUACCGUGGCGCAGCCAGGGCCGCCGCCGCCGCGCCGCUUCCUCUGCGACCGGCGCGCCGCUCCCCGCCUCCUCCGCGGGGCCUCCUCUUCGCCUCCGCCACGCCACAGCCAGUCCGGCAGCGCCACCUCCUCUCUCUCCACACGCCGUCGCCGGCCUCGUGCCCACGCCGCCUCCAUGCCUCCUCCGCCUCGAUUCACCACCGCCACCUGGAUGGCUGGAUCCACGCCGUGCCGCCACCCAGUCGCUCCGCCCCUUUCUCCUCCGACGGUGAUGGCGCGGCGCCGGCGCCGGCGCCGGUGCUGGUGUCCCUGCUCCUUCCCAUCUUCUCCCUCUCCGGCUGCCCCUCCUUGCCCUCGGUCCAGCGCUGGUAACUUCAGCAGGCCAUGGCGAAGAUGAUGGCUAUGGCUUGCUUGCUCUGCUCUUCGCCGUGAGGACACUCGCAGCCUCAACGCCGCUGCCGCGGCAAGGGUGACGGUCCUGAAGGUACACCAGUAACCAGACUACCAGAGAGGAGCCAUAUCACCACCUUCUCUAUAGUGGACAUGGGAGUUUCUCUAUAAAAGCAUGGCACUCAGUGAGAUGACAUAGAAUCUACAGCAAGCUUGCAAUGAGCAAGAGUUCAAGUGGUUGCAGCCACGCAGGCGAGUGCAGGCCACCGACAGUGCUGCUGCUCCCAUAUCUCAAGUGCAAGGUAACCAGUCCAUGGAUGCUCUCCUCCCAAAACCUAGGUAUCCUCUGCAGUUUCCCCAUGCUAAUUCUCCUCUCUCUCAUUCUUUCAUGGAUUUCUAGGUCACCAAAACCUAGGAUUUGAGGAUUGGAUUUUUUUCUCUCAUUAUCAUCAGGUUGGACCAAAUCUUUGCAAACUAAGUUUAAUGUUUCAAAGUUUGAUCUAUUUACAAAUAUGGUGAUGCACUGUGCUCAUUACGCCCAAUGUUCAAAAAAGUUUCAUAGCUAUGUCCCUUCUCCAUUAGAUGUUAUGAACUGAUAGAAAGUUCCUGUUAUUUUAUUGCAAUAUGCAAUCCAAAAUGCCUGGUAUCUAGCAUAAUCUUUUUAAGUCCUUUUGUGUAUUGAUAUAGAUAGCUGCAAAUUAUAGAUGGUUUUGUACUCACUUCAAUGAUUUCUAAAAGUCAAAAUCCAUCUCAAUUCUGCUGCCUAAAACUGCAUUACUACUACUGUAUUGAUCUUGACCAGCGCUUGCCAGUUCUUCUCUGCUUUCAGAGAGAAACAGGGUAUCCAAAAGCUGAAAUCACCCACACAAGGUGGUUCUGUCUCCAGUGCAUAAACGUGUUUUCCUGAGAUAGGCACAUUGUUAGAUUAUUUCUGGUUCUUAGGUCCGUAUAUGAGUCACAGCUUAGUGACCCAUGGAUAUAUAACCAUAUCAAAAUAGAAAGUUUCAAAAACUAACUCUAUGUUAAAAAAAUAUGCUACUUUUCUAUAUAAAUAAAAAAUGAAAAAAAACUCAAAACACCCACUGUACAGCCCUCUACUAAAUUGUUUACUUUUGAUAUCUAAUAUUGUAAGAGCUUUAUAAAUUUGGUCUGUUUUUUGAGCCAUUUGCAUACCACCAUGUUGCCCUGCUUACGCUUUCCAUCGCACGGUCCUGCAGCAGCAUUUGCACAGAAAGAUCAACAGUGGUUGUAGUCAAGGUGGCAACUAAAGGCGCUUUUAGCUGAGGAAGAAGCUGUGCGCAACUUUCUUGCAGAGCUCAAUUAUGUCACUAUUCAUUUCUUGGAUUCAUUUUAGGCUCAGUUACUUGAAAAAAAAAAAGGAAAGAAGCUACAGGGGAUCGGAUAGCAUGCAUUCAGAUGCAAGGAUACAGCUAUGCCGCCUUCUUUUUUUUUUGUCUCCCUGUUCGAUCUGGUAGUGAGGUAGUAAACACACAUAUAUCUCAAUUUGCAAUUUCUCUGCAUAGGGCAAAGAGAUAAACAUUAUAGUUUCAUUCACUGACUAUUUACGCUUAUGUAAAGAGCCACACAAAUAUGAUUUCUUCCAGGUUUGUUAUCUCCUACAUCAUCAAUUUCUUUAUUAAUUGAAUGUAUAAUUUUCUUUCCCAAUCAAGGACUUGUAUAUAUAUUCGCAAUCAAAGGACUCUGUUGCUCCUAUUUUGUAAAAUUAACCUUACUUAUCUGUGCAGAGACAGUCAUGUUUUGGCUCAUCACCACAUGUAUACUCAUUGAAGUCUGAUCUCUGGCUCUAUCCAUAUUGCUCCUCGUUGCUCUCUGCUGGCUGGCCCUCUCAAUUGAGCUCCAUGCCCAAAUCGAUAAUAUUGGAUCCGGAGAGGAGAUGCUGUGAGAGGCUUGGUAGUACUUCACACUUUCAGAUAUUGAAUGUGAUCGUUGUCCCAUGCUAAAUUGCUAAUCCAAGAGGAUAAUAGAAUGAGAAAUAAGAUGUAUGCUCUAAUACUC